CCCGGCACGUGUUGAAUUGCAUUUAUAGUUUCUUUAACAAUUAAAUUUAGCACUGCACUUGAGCUGCCUGCGGCAGCAUUCGUAGUUUUAAGACCAACUAUGUAAGGGAUUUGUUUUAAGUACCCCGGGGCGGGCAAGGCACCCACGGGAGCAGAUAUGCAAAGGUCCGAUCGUCACAAUAGCUUGCAUUAAACUAAUGUCUGGGAGUAUAUAUAUUACAGAAAUUCCUAAAUAAAAUCCUGUGGAUAUCUAUCUCCUGUGGCCAUUCAUUUUUAUGAGUUUUUGAUACUGUAUGGAGAUUCUUUUCGAACUGUGGACCUAUGGGACGAACAAAAAUUAAAAAGCAAAAAAUAACUGUUCCUUUUAUAAUAAAACCGAUACGGUGCAAAAUAA